GUAGGUACGUCCAAAGAAGGAGGGGCCUUGCGCCAGGUAGGAAUACUCGAACAUGAAGGCGUUCCAACGUUGCAUCUUCAAGAAUGCAGGACGAUCUCCCCUAGCACAAACCUAAAGCAAAUCCAAUUAGAACACAAAAAGAAACUUGUUUAUAAUAUCUUCUCACCUGUAUUUGACUCUGCUGAAGUUGAAUCAGCAAUCAGAAUUUAGAAUUUGUUAUCACAUCCAAAGUUAUCAACAGGAAUACAUAGAUUCUCGUUGAGAAGAAGACUUUACCUUUGGGGGUCAGGGCUCGAUGUGUAUACCCAUCAAGGAAUGGGCUACUGCCUCCGGGGGUAUGAACAGCCACAAAGAUGCUGAGUUCUGUCAAAAGAAUUUGAAUGUGAAGAAGAUGAAACAUUGUAAUGGAAGAUGUCAUAUUCAAAGGAGAACAAAAACUGGAUAAACAAAUGUCAGAAUGAGAUAUCGCAAGGUUGUGUUUCACGUGUUCACAAGCAGUUCGUAGUGUAGUGUAGUGUAGUCAUACCAAGCACGUAGUCGUAGUCGUAGUUAUAGUUGUAGUCAUAGACUAGAAGUAAUUUAGUAGACUGUGAAGUGAACACUGAAAUGCAAUCGUGGCAAUUGUAUCUGACUUUGUUUAUUCAGAGAUGUGAAGAUGCAGAUCGACAUUAAUUGUUCCUGAACAACCUGGGUUUUGCACAUGAACCUGACAUCGUAGAAGAACCAUUCUCUCUUCAAAAUGGGUUUUGCACAUGAACCUGACAUCGUAGAAGACCGAUUCUUUCUUCAGAAUGGGUUUUGCACAUGAACCUGACAUCGUAGAAGACCGAUUCUUUCUUCAGAAUGAGUUUUGCACAUGAACCUGACAUCGUAGAAGAACCAUUUUCGCUUCAGAAUAGCUUUUGCACAUGAACCUGACUUAGUAGGAGAACCAUUCUUUCAUCAGGUUGAAGGGUUUUGCACAUGAACCUGACAUCGUAGAAGACCCAUUCUUUCUUCAGAAUGGGUUUUGCACAUGAACCUGACAUCGUAGAAGACCCAUUCUUUCUUCAGAAUGAGUUUUGCACAUGAACCUGACAUCGUAGAAGAACCAUUUUCGCUUCAGAAUGUCGAGCUUUUGCACAUGAACCUGACAUAGUAGGAGAACCAUUCUUUCAUCAGAUUGAAGAGCUUUUGCACAUAAACCUGACAUCGUAGGAGAACCAUUCUCUCUUCAAAAUGGGUUUUGCACAUGAACAUGACAUCGUAGAAGAACUAUUCUCUCUGCAAAAUAUAGAGCUUUUGCACAUGAACCUGACAUCGUAGGGGAACCAUUCUUUCAUCAGAUUGAAGGGCUUUUGCACAUAAACCUGACAUCGUAGGAGAACCAUUCUCUCUUCAAAAUGGUUUUGCACAUGAACCUGACAUCGUAGAAGAACUAUUUUCUCUUCAGAAUGUAGGUAUUGAAUUGAGUGUAAACAAGUUUUUAGUGACCUCGUGCAGUUGCUGUCGGCUGUGUGCAACUCAAGGCAUACGCAUUUCCUUUUUGGUUGUCGAGUGAAUCGCGCGUUUACAUUGCGACUACUUUUUGUUCUUCAAAUCAUAAUUAGAUAAAUUGCGGAAUGUUCAAUUAACAAUGAAUGUGGUUUUGCUUGUGAGAAAGCAUGCGAUAAAUGUUCAUCAAUCGCGGAGUUAUCGGUGGUUCACCUAUGCGCGUGUGAUGUUCCGCCGGCCGUCGGUGAUUGUUUUUUGCAUGUGGAAUUAUAUUACACUCGUGUUAACCUAUGUGUAAAUAACCUGCGUGUCCACACAGACUUAAUAAUAACUUGGAUUUAUGUAACAACGUUGGUUCCUGUUGAAGAAGUUUAGGAGCACUUGCGUCAAGAGAUGCGCAUAUUACAAGGCAAGUUUUACUUUCAGGAGAUUUAAGAGCUGCCUAUGAUUUUCGAUUUAAAAAAAAAUGUAUGUAGUUUUUAAUGUUGCUAAUAAAACAUAGUAUUAUAUA